rnacentral:tRNA from 1 species
GGCUCCUUGGUCAAGCGGUUAAGACAUCGCCCUUUCACGGCGGUAACACGGGUUCGAUUCCCGUAUCUUCCA